rnacentral:rRNA from 1 species
GUCCACGCCCUAAACGAUGUUUACUUGCUGUUGGGGGCAACCUUAGUAGAGAAGCUAACGCGAGAAGUAAACCGCCUGGGGAGUACGGUCGCAAGAUUAAAACUCAAAGGAAUUGACGGGGACCCGCACAAGCGGUGGAUGAUGUGGAUUAAUUCGAUGCAACGCGAAAAACCUUACCUGCUCUUGACAUGCUAGGAAGAUCUGAGAGAUUAGAUUGUGCCUUCGGGAACCUAGACACAGGUGCUGCAUGGCUGUCGU